CCUACGGGAGGCUGCAGUGAGGAAUAUUGGUCAAUGGGCGUAAGCCUGAACCAGCCAAGUCGCGUGAGGGAUGAAGGUUCUAUGGAUCGUAAACCUCUUUUAUAAGGGAAUAAAGUGCGGGUCGUGUCCCGUUUUGUAUGUACCUUAUGAAUAAGGAUCGGCUAACUCCGUGCCAUCAGCCGCGGUAAUCCGGAGGAUCCGAGCGUUAUACGGAUUUAUUGGGUUUAAAGGGUGCGUAGGCGGCCUUUUAAGUCAGCGGGGAAAGUCUGUGGCUAAACCAUAGAAUUGCCGUUGAAACUGGGAGGCUUGAGUAGGUUGGAGGCAGGCGGAAUGCGUGGUGUAGCGGUGAAAUGCGUAGAUAUCACGCAGAACCCCGAUUGCGAAGGCAGCCUGCCAAGCCAUGACUGACGCUGAUGCACGAAAGCGUGGGGAUCAAACAGGAUUAGAUACCCGAGUAGUC
rnacentral:rRNA from 1 species